UAGGGAAUCUUCCGCAAUGGGCGAAAGCCUGACGGAGCAACGCCGCGUGAGUGAUGAAGGUCUUCGGAUCGUAAAACUCUGUUAUUAGGGAAGAACAAAUGUGUAAGUAACUAUGCACGUCUUGACGGUACCUAAUCAGAAAGCCACGGCUAACUACGUGCCAGCAGCCGCGGUAAUACGUAGGUGGCAAGCGUUAUCCGGAAUUAUUGGGCGUAAAGCGCGCGUAGGCGGUUUUUUAAGUCUGAUGUGAAAGCCCACGGCCCAACCGUGGAGGGUCAUUGGAAACUGGAAAAAUUGAGUGCAGAAGAGGAAAGAGGAAUUCCACGUGUAGCGGUGAAAUACGCGGAGAUAUGGAGGAACACCAGUGGCGAAGGCGACUUUCUGGUCUGUAACUGACGCUGAUGUGCGAAAGCGUGGGGAUCAAACAGG
rnacentral:rRNA from 1 species